UACGGAGGGUGCAAGCGUUAUCCGGAUUCACUGGGUUUAAAGGGUGCGUAGGUGGGUUGGUAAGUCAGUGGUGAAAUCUCCGAGCUUAACUUGGAAACUGCCAUUGAUACUAUUAGUCUUGAAUACUGUGGAGGUAAGCGGAAUAUGUCAUGUAGCGGUGAAAUGCUUAGAUAUGACAUAGAACACCGAUAGCGAAGGCAGCUUGCUACACAGUCAUUGACACUGAGGCACGAAAGCGUGGGGAGCAAACAGG
rnacentral:rRNA from 1 species